rnacentral:rRNA from 1 species
UCUGCCUCUAUCACGGGGAUAACUACUGGAAACGGUGGCUAAUACCCGAUGUUGCAACUUGUUGUAAAAGUCUUCGGACGGAUAGAGAUGAGUCUGCGUCUGAUUAGCUUGUUGGUAAGGUAACGGCUUACCAAGGCGAUGAUCAGUAACUGGUCUGAGAGGACGAUCAGUCACACUGGAACUGAGACACGGUCCAGACUCCUACGGGAGGCAGCAGUGAGGAAUAUUGGUCAAUGGGGGCAACCCUGAACCAGCGACGCCGCGUGAGGGAUGACGGGGCUUUGCCUUGUAAACCUCUGUCAGAAGGGAAAAGAAGGUUGUUUGGCGACCUGGGCUUGUACCUUCGGAGGAAGCACCGGCUAACUACGUGCCAGCAGCCGCGGUAAUACGUAGGGUGCAAACGUUGUCCGGAAUUACUGGGUGUAAAGGGUGCACAGGCGGUUUUGUGCGUCAGAGGUUAAAUGCCACGGCUCAACUGUGGACCUGCCUUUGAUACGGCAAGACUUGAGUGGAAGAGAGGAUGAUAGAACUCCUGGUGUAGCGGUGAAAUGCGUAGAUAUCAGGAAGAAUACCAUUUGCGAAGGCGGUCAUCCGGCUUUCAACUGACGCUUAAGCACGAAAGCGUGGGUAGCGAACAGGAUUAAAUACCCUGGGUAGUCCACGCCCUAAACGAUGCAUGCUU